rnacentral:rRNA from 1 species
CCUACGGGUGGCUGCAGUAGGGAAUAUUGCUCAAUGGGGGAAACCCUGAAGCAGCAACGCCGCGUGGAGGAUGAAGGUUUUAGGAUUGUAAACUCCUUUUGGUAGAGAAGAUUAUGACGGUAUCCAACGUAUAAGCACCGGCUAACUCCGUGCCAGCAGCCGCGGUAAUACGGAGGGUGCAAGCGUUACUCGGAAUCCCUGGGCGUAAGGGGUGCGCAGGCGGGCGUGUAAGUCAGAUGUGAAAUCCUGUAGCUUAACUACAGGACUGCAUUUGAAACAUUGAGUCUAGAGUGUGGGAGAGGUAGGUGGAAUUCUUGGUGUAGGGGUAAAAUCCGUAGAUAUCAAGAGGAAUACUCGUUGCGAAGGCGACCUACUGGAACAUUACUGACGCUCAUGCACGAAAGCGUGGGGAGCAAACAGGAUUAGAUACCCCAGUAGUC